UUUAAAAAGAGAAGUAUCGCCGGGCGGUGGUGGCUCUCGCUUUUAAUCCCAGCACUCGGGAGGCAGAGCCAGGCGAAUCUCUGUGAGUUCGAGGCCAGCCUGGGCUACAGAUGUCUUCUGUCCUUCUGUGAUCUGCUGGAUGCCCUGGACCUCUGUGGACCAAGUUGAUGAGUUUCUUCUCCUCUUGCUUCUGUGGGGGUCAUGAGCAGGAAGAGGGAAGAAGAGUGGGGUGGAAGAGUCAUUCUGGUUGCCUUCUUCCCUUCAUCUGUGACUGCAGCUCUGCAUCCCCAGCCUCUCUGAAUCGUCAGGGUCGUGGCACCUCUUACUCCACCAGCCACAGAAAACUGUACAGUUCCUUGGAAUUUCACCCACAGGAUUAUUCUAUCUCAUCCUCCAAACCUCAGUCACCUGGAAGAAGCCAGUGCAGACCUGAGAAUUCGACAUCUGUUGUUACCUCCUACCCCAUAGACGACAGAUUUCCAUUUUAAAAGAGAAACACUCUCAGAUUCACUGGCUCAGGUAUGCAGACUGUCUUCUUACUGUAUGUGAAGAGCAACAGCAGACAGCUUCUUGGUGACCAGAAGAAAGAGCUCAAAGUUGUACGGCUUUUCCUGUCCCCUCAUGUCUAGUGAAAGAGGCCUGUGCUUUCCUACAAUAGAGACUGUUCCUGUCCUCAGUGUGCUAAUCAUAAGGUGGUAAGGCUAAUCAUUGAAAUGCCUACUCAAGGCAGAGGAAAGAGUCUAUACCCCACACCCAAGAGUGUUGCCAAUGGCACAUUUGAAGUAGAGGCUGAGGCAGGAGAAGUACAUCAUGAUAAAUGUUCUGAUACAAUCUUAACUCAAACCAAAUGCAUAAAGCAGAUGUAAAAGUUUCAUGUACUAAAGUAAGGAGGAGAAUUAAGACUAGCUUCUCUGGCUUCCUUCCUAAAACUCUCAACUCAAUAUGACCCUACAGAAGAUCCAGAAAAACCCAGGGUCUCAGUCAACUCCUCUUCGAAGAUGGCUAUCACUGUAGUGAGGGUGAGCUUCAUCCAAUAUCAUCCCUAAGGUCCAGAACUGGACUUGGUGGUGGUGUGGGGAGGCUUGCCCCGGGGAUGGGUUCUAUGACUCACCUGUCAUUGACCGGCAGAGGGGCGGUACAGAAAGUCCCAGCGAUGGUAGUCCUGUCUUUUUUCCAAACCCUGCUAGGAACUUGGAAUUUGAGCUUCACUUGGUUUAUCUGGCACUGGGGGGUGGGGUGGGCAAUGACUCCUCUCCCUUCCAGUUGCUGUCUAGGUCUGAAAGGAAAGGGGAGAGGGGAAUGAGUCACCAGGGCUCUGCAUUUCACUUCCUCCUUGUUCCAAGGGGCUCUGCUGGCAAACCUGGUUGACUCUCAUGCACAGAAGCACUAGCUCCUUGAAGAUGGAGACACAGCGUUUCAUGUAACCCUCACUGGCCCCUCUGCCCAUAGAUGAACGGUUUUGAACAUGACCCAGGAAA